GGAGAGGUUCCCGAGCGGCCAAAGGGGACGGGCUGUAAACCCGUUGGUGUACGCCUACGAAGGUUCGAAUCCUUCCCUCUCCA
rnacentral:tRNA from 1 species